rnacentral:rRNA from 1 species
GACGAACGCUGGCGGCGUGCUUAACACAUGCAAGUCGAACGGAAAGGCCCUGCUUUUGUGGGGUGCUCGAGUGGCGAACGGGUGAGUAACACGUGAGUAACCUGCCCUUGACUUUGGGAUAACUUCAGGAAACUGGGGCUAAUACCGGAUAGGAGCUCCUGCUGCAUGGUGGGGGUUGGAAAGUUUCGGCGGUUGGGGAUGGACUCGCGGCUUAUCAGCUUGUUGGUGGGGUAGUGGCUUACCAAGGCUUUGACGGGUAGCCGGCCUGAGAGGGUGACCGGGCACAUUGGGACUGAGGUAGGGCGCAGACGGGUACGGGAGGCAGCAGGGGGGAGUAUUGCACAGUGGGCGGGAGCGUGAUGCGGCAACGCCGCGGGCGGGAUGACGGCCUUCGGGUUGUAAACCGCUUUCGCCUGUGACGAAGCGUGAGUGACGGUAAUGGAUAAAGAAGCACCGGCUAACUACGUG